AUGAAACUCCGCAGAAGAGGAGAGAGGAGACUUUGGAGAUAGAGCCCUGGGGGCCCCGUGUGCGUGUCAGCUGGGAAGCAUAGCGCUGCCGUUCCGUUCCGUGCUGGGAGAGGAAGUAACCCUGAGGGCAGAGGCUGGGGACCUGCAGGUGGAGGCAUGCAAAGAAAGACAUUAUGAAGGACAAAGAAACGAGAUUAGGAGCAUACAGUUGUGAUCUCAAUAUUUAGGAGGCUGAGGCAGGAGGAUUGUUGGUUGAAAGCCACUCUUGGCUACCCUAUCAACAAACAAACAAGGCCAAGCAAAGGUGAGCAGAGAAACCAAUGAUGUUAGCUGUCAAGAUGCCUAAGACAGACUACAAGGUGUGUCCUUAGGCCUGCUGAGACACUGGAUACCCGAGUGUUUCACCCCUGUUCACACCUAUCUCAGCAGCUCGUUUAGGGACUUCUCAGUAUUCCAGUCUUAUUUAGCCGACUUUUCCUACUAAACCAUUACCCUUCAAAGAGCUGCUUUAUAAACGCAGAGUCUGUGAGCUAGGUAGAGAACAGUCAAAGCUGGGAUGGGAGCAAGAGCAGUAGCAAACCACCUGGACAAUGGAGGGAGCACAAACAGGAAACAUACAUGAGAAAGCACGUGCACUUCCCAAAUCAUCUGUUCCCACACUAAAGAGAAAAAACAACAACAAAGACACAUUACAGGUGAGCUAACAAAAGUUUUAUUGAAUAAAUACAUGUGCUGUUAUGUAAAAUUAAUUAAGCGAAAAGCACAUUCUAUGAUUUAAAAAAACCCAAAAACCAAUCCUCUGUGGUCCUCCUCUACAGUGGGUAAUCCAGAUGGGACCAGUCAUUGCAGCAACCAGAGAAUACAUAUCCAGGGACUGGGGCUCUCUGCAUCUGCCUGGCGUUUCUGAAAUAAUACCCAACUGUCUGGAGGACUGACCUCUGUCUGCAUAAGGACAGAGUCCCUGUAGAGGAACUCUCGGGUGCAGAACAUAAGGGGUGGUAACUGCAGUUGCAAGGGUGCUUCCGUUUUCCCUUGGUACUUUAAGGCACAGGAUAAGUCGCCACGUAGGUGAGUUAGUGGAGCUGUACUUCAAAUCACUAAUUUCCCCUCACUGGUUUGGUUCUAAGUAGAAAACUUAAAGUUCUUUUUUCCAAGAUAAGUCAUUAAAAACUGAAAGUUAGCAUUUUGAGAACCCAAAGUAUCUUCUAUCUUCAGGACACUGGAACGUGCCUUGAUGGCAACUCAGCUCUCCACGUGCAGGAUACAGGACUACAACCAGGAGGUGGGCUGGUAUUACCGGACUUUCUCCUUUCCAAAGAGGACUCAGAUGAUGCAGGUGGGGAGGCUGUAUCUGAGCUCACUGGUGCCAGCGUUUGUGACUGCAGCAGAGGGCGCCAGAUUGAGGACUUACUAGGCGAUUGUACCCUUAAAUAUAUUCAAUUUACCUAAUUGUUAAGUAAAGUAUUCUGUUAAAUAAAACACAUACUGAACA